UCGAGAGUUUGAUCCUGGCUCAGGAUGAACGCUAGCGGCAGGCUUAACACAUGCAAGUCGAGGGGUAUAGUUCUUCGGAGCUAGAGACCGGCGCACGGGUGCGUAACGCGUAUACAAUCUACCUUUUACAGAGGGAUAGCCCAGAGAAAUUUGGAUUAAUACCUCAUAGUAUUUUCGAAUCGCAUGAUUUGAUUAUUAAAGUUCCAACGGUAAAAGAUGAGUAUGCGUCCCAUUAGCUAGAUGGUAAGGUAACGGCUUACCAUGGCAACGAGUGGGUAGGGGUCCUGAGAGGGA
rnacentral:rRNA from 1 species